rnacentral:rRNA from 1 species
AUUGAACGCUGGCGGCAUGCCUUACACAUGCAAGUCGAACGGCAGCGCGGGGCAACCUGGCGGCGAGUGGCGAACGGGUGAGUAAUAUAUCGGAACAUACCCUAGAGUGGGGGAUAACGUAGCGAAAGUUACGCUAAUACCGCAUACGCACUAAGGUGGAAAGUGGGGGAUCUUCGGACCUCAUGCUCAUGGAGUGGCCGAUAUCUGAUUAGCUAGUUGGUGAGGUAAAGGCUCACCAAGGCGGCGAUCAGUAGCUGGUUUGAGAGAACGACCAGCCACACUGGAACUGAGACACGGUCCAGACUCCUACGGGAGGCAGCAGUGGGGGAAUUUUGGGACAAUGGGGGGCAACCCUGAUCCAGCAAUGCCGCGUGAGUGAAGAAGGCCUCGG